UACGGAAGGGGGCUAGCGUUGCUCGGAAUUACUGGGCGUAAAGGGAGCGUAGGCGGAUAGUUUAGUCAGAGGUGAAAUCCCGGGGCUCAACCUCGGAACCUGCCUUUGAUAGCUGGCGUGUCUUGGAGUAUGGGAGAGGUGUGUGGAACGUCCGGAAGUGUAGAGGUGAAAUUCGUAGAUAUUCGGAAGAACACCAGUGGCGAAGGCGACA
rnacentral:rRNA from 1 species